rnacentral:rRNA from 1 species
UAGAGUUUGAUCCUGGCUCAGGAUGAACGCUGGCGGCGUGCUUAACACAUGCAAGUCGAACGGAACUGUCAUUUUUGAAGCAAUUAGCUUGCUAAGGGUGGAAAUGUUGGCAGUUUAGUGGCGGACGGGUGAGUAACGCGUGGGUAACCUGCCUUACACAGGGGGAUAACACCUGGAAACAGGUGCUAAUACCGCAUAACAGGAAGAGGCGCAUGCCACUUUCUUGAAAACUCCGGUGGUGUAAGAUGGACCCGCGUCUGAUUAGCUAGUUGGCGGGGUAACGGCCCACCAAGGCGACGAUCAGUAGCCGGCCUGAGAGGGUGGACGGCCACAUUGGGACUGAGACACGGCCCAAACUCCUACGGGAGGCAGCAGUGGGGAAUAUUGGACAAUGGGGGGAACCCUGAUCCAGCGACGCCGCGUGAGUGAAGAAGUAUUUCGGUAUGUAAAGCUCUAUCAGCAGGGAAGAAAGAAAUGACGGUACCUGACUAAGAAGCCCCGGCUAACUACGUGCCAGCAGCCGCGGUAAUACGUAGGGGGCAAGCGUUAUCCGGAUUUACUGGGUGUAAAGGGAGCGUAGACGGUGAUGCAAGUCUGAAGUGAAAGGCGGGGGCUCAACCCCCGGACUGCUUUGGAAACUGUAUGACUGGAGUGCAGGAGAGGUAAGUGGAAUUCCUAGUGUGGCGGUGAAAUGCGUAGAUAUUAGGAGGAACACCAGUGGCGAAGGCGGCUUACUGGACUGUAACUGACGUUGAGGCUCGAAAGCGUGGGGAGCAAACAGGAUUAGAUACCC